UACAGAGGGGGCAAGCGUUGUUCGGAAUUACUGGGCGUAAAGGGCGCGUAGGCGGCCCGCUAAGUCGAACGUGAAAUCCCCGGGCUCAACCUGGGAACUGCAUCCGAGACUGCAUUGCUAGAGUAUGGGAGAGGGAAGCGGAAUUUCUGGUGUAGCAGUGAAAUGCGUAGAUAUCAGAAGGAACAUCAGUGGCGAAGGCGGCUUCCUGGACCAAUACUGACGAUCAGGUGCGAAAGCGUGGGGAGCAAACAGG
rnacentral:rRNA from 1 species